GACGAACGCUGGCGGCGUGCUUAACACAUGCAAGUCGAACGGUGAAAGCGGAGCUUGCUCCGCUGGAUCAGUGGCGAACGGGUGAGUAACACGUGGGCAACCUGCCCCUCACUUCGGGAUAACUCCGGGAAACCGGGGCUAAUACCGGAUAUGACCUCCUUGGGCAUCCUUGGAGGUGGAAAGUUUUUCGGUGAGGGAUGGGCCCGCGGCCUAUUGGCGUGGUGGUGGGGUGAUGGCCUCCCAAGGCGACGACGGGUAGCCGGCCUGAGAGGGUGACCGGCCACCCGGGGACUGAGAUACGGCCCAGACUCCUACGGGAGGCAGCAGUGGUGAAUAUUGCACAAUGGGCGCAAGCCUGAUGCAGCGACGCCGCGUGAGGGAUGACGGCCUUCGGGUUGUAAACCUCUUUUAGCAGGGAAGAAGCGAGAGUGACGGUACCUGCAGAAAAAGCACCGGCUAACUACGUGCCAGCCGCCGCCGUAA
rnacentral:rRNA from 1 species